GACAGAGGGUGCAAACGUUGUUCGGAAUUACUGGGUGUAAAGGGCGCGUAGGCGGCCGCCUAAGUCUGACGUGAAAUCCCUCAGCUUAACUGGGGAACUGCGUCUGAUACUGGCGGACUUGAGGACAGGAGAGGAACGCGGAAUUCCAGGUGUAGCGGUGAAAUGCGUAGAUAUCUGGAGGAACACCGGUGGCGAAGGCGGCGUUCUGGACUGUUUCUGACACUGAAAAACGAAAGCCAGGGGAGCAAACGGG
rnacentral:rRNA from 1 species